CCUACGGGAGGCAGCAGUGGGGAAUAUUGGGCAAUGGAGGAAACUCUGACCCAGCGACGCCGCGUGCGGGAUGAAGGCCUUCGGGUUGUAAACCGCUUUCAGUAGGGAAGAAGCGAAAGUGACGGUACCUACAAAAGAAGCACCGGCUAACUAUGUGCCAGCAGCCGCGGUAAUACAUAGGGUGCAAGCGUUGUCCGGAAUUAUUGGGCGUAAAGAGCUCGUAGGUCGUUUGUUACGUCGGAUGUGAAAACCUGAGGCUCAACCUCAGGCCUGCAUUCGAUACGGGCAAACUAGAGUUUGGUAGGGGAGACUGGAAUUCCUGGUGUAGCGGUGGAAUGCGCAGAUAUCAGGAGGAACACCAAUGGCGAAGGCAGGUCUCUGGGCCAAUACUAGACACUGAGGAGCGAAAGUCUGGGGAGCGAACAGGAUUAGAUACCCUGGUAGUCCAGACCGUAAACGGUGGGCACUAGUUGUGGGAACCUUCCACGGUUUCUGCGACGCAGCUAACGCAUUAAGUGCCCCGCCUGGGGAGUACGAUCGCAAGAUAAAACUCAAAGGAAUUGACGG
rnacentral:rRNA from 1 species